rnacentral:rRNA from 1 species
AGCGAACGCUGGCGGCAGGCCUAACACAUGCAAGUCGAACGCCCCUUCGGGGGAGUGGCGGACGGGUGAGUAACGCGUGGGAACGUGCCCUUUGGUACGGAACAACUGAGGGAAACUUCAGCUAAUACCGUAUGUGCCCUACGGGGGAAAGAUUUAUCGCCAUUGGAGCGGCCCGCGUUAGAUUAGCUAGUUGGUAGGGUAAUGGCCUACCAAGGCGACGAUCUAUAGCUGGUCUGAGAGGAUGUUCAGCCACACUGGGACUGAGACACGGCCCAGACUCCUACGGGAGGCAGUAGUGGGGAAUCUUGCGCAAUGGGCGAAAGCCUGACGCAGCCAUGCCGCGUGAAUGAUGAAGGUCUUAGGAUUGUAAAAUUCUUUCACCGGGGACGAUAAUGACGGUACCCGGAGAAGAAGCCCCGGCUAACUUCGUGCCAGCAGCCGCCGUAAUAC